GAUGAACGCUAGCGGCAGGCCUAAUACAUGCAAGUCGAACGGUAAGUAUUUUAGCAAUAGAAUGCGAGAGUGACGUACGGGUGCGUAACACGUAUGCAACCUACCCUUUACAGGAGGAUAGCUCGGGGAAACUCGAAUUAACCCUCCAUGAGAUCACAGUGUGGCAUCACACAGUGAUUAAAACUCCGGUGGUAAAGGAUGGGCAUGCGUCUGAUUAGUUAGUUGGCGGGGUAACGGCCCACCAAGACGAUGAUCAGUAGGGGAACUGAGAGGUUGAUCCCCCACACUGACACUGAGAUACGGGCCAGACUCCUACGGGAGGCAGCAGUAGGGAAUAUUGGUCAAUGGAUGGAAGUCUGAACCAGCCAUGCCGCGUGCAGGAAGAAGGCCUUCUGGGUUGUAAACUGCUUUUGCCAGGGGAUAAAAAGACCAUGCGUGGUUUAUUGAAGGUACCUGGUGAAUAAGCCACGGCUAACUACGUGCCAGCAGCCGCGGUAA
rnacentral:rRNA from 1 species